rnacentral:rRNA from 1 species
CAGUAGCCGCGGGAAUACGUAGGGUGCAAGCGUUAAUCGGAAUUACUGGGCGUAAAGCGUGCGCAGGCGGUUAUAUAAGACAGAUGUGAAAUCCCCGGGCUCAACCUGGGAACUGCAUUUGUGACUGUAUAGCUAGAGUACGGCAGAGGGGGAUGGAAUUCCGCGUGUAGCAGUGAAAUGCGUAGAUAUGCGGAGGAACACCGAUGGCGAAGGCAAUCCCCUGGGCCUGUACUGACGCUCAUGCACGAAAGCGUGGGGAUCAAACAUGAUUAGAUACCCCAGUAGUCCCUGUCUCUUAUAC